rnacentral:piRNA from 9 species
CUAGCUCAGUCGGUAGAGCAUGAGACUC